UACGUAGGGGGCUAGCGUUGUCCGGAAUCAUUGGGCGUAAAGCGCGUGUAGGCGGUCCGGUAAGUCCGCUGUGAAAGUCGGGGGGCUCAACCCCCGUGAAUGCCGGUGGAUACUGUCGGGCUAGAGUGCGGAAGAGGCGAGUGGAAUUCCUGGUGUAGCGGUGAAAUGCGCAGAUAUCAGGAGGAACACCAAUUGCGAAGGCAGCUCGCUGGGACGUAACUGACGCUGGAGACGCGAAAGCGUGGGGAGAAACAGG
rnacentral:rRNA from 1 species